GACGAACGCUGGCGGCGUGCUUAACACAUGCAAGUCGAACGGAAAGGCCCUGCGUUUGUGGGGUGCUCGAGUGGCGAACGGGUGAGUAACACGUGAGUAACCUGCCCUUGACUUUGGGAUAACUUCAAGAAACUGGGGCUAAUACCGGAUAGGAGCUCCUGCUGCAUGGUGGGGGUUGGAAAGUUUCGGCGGUUGGGGAUGGACUCGCGGCUUAUCAGCUUGUUGGUGGGGUAGUGGAUGACCAAGGCUUUGACGGCUAGCCGGCCUGAGAGGGUGACCGGCCACAUGGGGACUGAGAGACGGCCCAGACGCCUACGGGAGGCAGCAGUGGGGAAUAUUGCACAAUGGGCGGAAGCCUGAUGCAGCAACGCCGCGUGCGGAAUGACGGCCUUCGGGUUGUAAACCGCUUUCGACGGUGACGAAGCGUGAGUGACGGUAAUGGGUAAAGAAGCACCGGCUAACUACGUG
rnacentral:rRNA from 1 species